rnacentral:rRNA from 1 species
GAGUUUGAUCCUGGCUCAGAUUGAACGCUGGCGGCGUGCCUUACACAUGCAAGUCGAACGGUAACAGGUCUUCGGAUGCUGACGAGUGGCGAACGGGUGAGUAAUACAUCGGAACGUGCCCGAUCGUGGGGGAUAACGGAGCGAAAGCUUUGCUAAUACCGCAUACGAUCUACGGAUGAAAGCAGGGGACCGCAAGGCCUUGCGCGGACGGAGCGGCCGAUGGCAGAUUAGGUAGUUGGUGGGAUUAAAAGCUUACCUAAGCCGACGAUCUGUAGCUGGUCUGAGAGGACGACCAGCCACACUGGGACGUGAGACACGGCCCAGACUCCUACGGGAGGCA